UCCCCACUGAGACCUAAUCUGGAGAAAAGU
rnacentral:piRNA from 1 species